GGGCGGUUAGCUCAGCUGGUUUAGAGCGUCUGCCUUACACGCAGAAGGUCACUGGUUCGAUCCCAGUACCGCCCA
rnacentral:tRNA from 1 species